GGGGUACAACUCACUGGCAGAGCAUUUGACUUCUGAUCAAGAGGUCCCCAGUUCAAUUCCGGGCUCCCCCUA